UACCUCAACCGCAAGGAGGGGGAUGCCUAAGGCAGGGCUAGUGACUGGGGUGAAGUCGUAACAAGGUAGCCGUACCGGAAGGUGUGGCUGGAUCACCUCCUUAAAGGGAGACCUAAUUCCGGUAGGAGACGAAAAAAAAGUAGUCCCUACCAAGAAUCAAUCCCAAAAGGUCGGAGCGAGGCAAAAUUGGCUUUCAAACUAGGUUCUGGGUUCACACAAGACCUGAAUCAGGAACAAGGGCUAUUAGCUCAGGUGGUUAGAGCGCACCCCUGAUAAGGGUGAGGUCCCUGGUUCGAGUCCAGGAUGGCCCACCUGCACAGGUGGAAGAAAGAAAAAAGCUCCGAAUCAGCACCUUAUCUUACUUAUAUAGUAAGAGAGAAUGCUGGCUCUGAGUACAGAGUCCAGAGGAACCUUGAAAACUGCAUAGAGCUAGGUGAAAAAGCCAAAAAAGAAGACCGCAA
rnacentral:misc_RNA from 1 species